rnacentral:lncRNA from 1 species
AGAGUCUUUAUUAUAUAGAAAUAUACUCCAUCCUACUUAACAUAAACUGACCUUGCUCUGUGUCUUCUGAUGUAAGGCACAUUCACCUGACCUGCAUCUGGAAAUGGAGUUGCAGCUCUUCAGACAAAUUAAGGAUAUCAAAAUGCCUGACUUCCAGGAAGUUCUGCACCACUGUACUCCCAUAUAUUACUGAUGUGAUGGCUAUCUGAAGAAAUAGGCAAUGACCUAAUUCCUUAGCUAAUAGAAUUUUUCCUAUGGACUUAGCUGGUGCAGGAAUUUUUUGGGGGGAGGAAAAUGAAUUAUGCCAAUAAAAGCAGAGUCCUGUCAGUAAUGUUCAUUUAGUCCAUAUGGAGCAAAACCAUAAAGGCCUCAAUUUCUAACAGUAGCCACCAUGACUCUGGCUUUUGCUAUGGCUCUGCUGGAUCACUUUUCCAGUCCCUUUGACUGAUUGUUCAUAUUCAUGUCCUGUGUGCUUGCAAAACACUGUUGCAGUUAAUUUUGUGCGAGUGAUAAUUCCCAUGAUUCCCAUCUCACCCCUACACUCCUGCAAUUACUCUUGUUCCUUCACUACAGAGAAUUAGUCUCACAUUUUUAUAUUAUUUUUGAAACAUUUCUCACACAGAGCUCUGCUUAUGUCUGCAAAUUUAAUACCUGUUCCAGCAUGCUGUACUUGUCCUGUCCUUGAUUUACUAUUUGAAAUAAUAAAUGCAGAGCAUUUAUAUAACACUUUGCCUAUGGAGACUCCAUGGUGCAGAACAAAAAAGCCGAGUCACUCUCCACCGCAGACUGUCAGGAGAUAAGGCAGGCUCUCACCAGGACUGCUGCAGACAGGUGUUUCACAUACCUUUAUGCUGCCCUUUGACCCCCCUGGUAUGUAUAUUGAGAUGCUAAGCUGUCCUAAAGCAGCGUAGCUCUGUGAAAGCCAGCAGAAUGACUCCACUUAAAGCCAGCUGACGGCUUUGGUCAUAAACAUCCCAGGCCCUCCUGUGAACAGACAGAUUGAAGCUUGCUUUUUAAGAUGCAGAUGGAAUAUCGAUUGAAGAGUAGAUGAAGACCACCAGGAUAGUUUUGUUUCCAGUGCAAGCAUCAUUCUUCUUUAUAGAUUAAAAGUGUGUCCAUGCAA